UCACACCUCCCCACGCCCCUCCCUCGGCACCUCUGGCAGGUGCUAGUGCCGUUAUUAAUAGGAAGCUGCCCGGGAGCAGCCGGCUGCUUCAGGGGCAUCCAUCUCCCUGGGAGCAGCUGUCACCCCGGCUCUGCACGGUGGUGGUGCGCUGGGCUGGAGCUGAACUUGACCCCUUCCCUCCCGCCUCCCCACCUCCCAGUGCUGGCAUACGGAGGCCCUGGGCAGAGGAAGCUAAGCUGCCCGGCGGGGGUGCCCAGGCACCUUCCUCCCAGGUGAAAGGAUCAUCCACUCGCUCGACACGUACCGGGCACUGUGCUGAGUCCCAGGUCAGAGCAGGGCCAGACACGGUCCCUGCCCUCCUGGAGCUGCCUGGCAUUGGGGGAGGUGGAAAGGAAAUGAGUAGACUCCCUGGGGCACCAGGAGAGAGCCUCCAAGAGGUGACAAGGAAAGAGGGGGGCAGAGAGAAGGGCGAGGACAAGGGUGGCGGGCAGAGCUCUGGCUGCACAGGGCACCUGGGGUCAAAGGGCAGGGCCAGCGCAGGAAGCUGGAGAAGGAAGAAGCAGGAAGCUCUCAGGGGACCAGGCUUGGGUCCUCCUGGAAGGAGCAUCGGAGGCCAUCGGUUUGUUCUUUUAAAAGUCACUCCAGCUGGGCUGGGGCUGUAGCUCGGGGGCAGAGGGCUGGCCUGGCAUGUGUGAGACACUGAGCUCCAUCCUUAGCACCACAUAAAAAUAAAACAAAUGAAAUAAA
rnacentral:lncRNA from 1 species